ACUGUCACGGUCUGAGGUGUAUUCCUGCUGUCACUCCCUGUCUUUUGAGUUUUCCCUCUGCAGGUGGGCGUGUCUGGAGGUUGACCAAGCUGCAGCAGAUCUGCUCAUCAGCUGGCCAGGGGUAUUUAAGCAGCUGAGAGACUUCUUCACCUCGCUGGAUGAUUACUCUACCUGGGUACCUUCUAACAGCCACUUGUGUAUCUUAUUCGAGCUCUUUUAACCUUUUGAUAAUUAGAUUUGUUUUUGGAAUUUGGAUUUUGAGAACUUGAUGAGUUUUUGGAUAUUGGAUUUUUGCCUUUUGACCUCCUGCUCUUGUCUCCAGACAAACCUUCACACUCAUCUUAGACUGGCAGAACUCUGGAGCCCACACCAUCUGGAACUCCAACCCCGCUCGUCUCUCAGCCUCUCCCCUGGCCAGAACCACCUCCAGCUGCCCACCUAAACUUCCUGGACCUCCACAAGCUCAGCUCCCUCCACGUCUCACUUCUUGGAUCUCAGUCCCUGCAAAGCCUCUCAACCCAGACCGGACCACUCCUCCCUCAAACUAGUUCCCUCCUCUCCAGACCAUUUCCCGCACCAGCUUCCUUGUGCAAGAACUCAGCUACGUUUAUGCUGCUUCCUUGGUUUUCCUUUAAUAAAUCCUUGUUUAAACAUUUCA